rnacentral:rRNA from 1 species
AUGAACGCUAGCUACAGGCUUAACACAUGCAAGUCGAGGGGCAGCAUGGUCUUAGCUUGCUAAGGCCGAUGGCGACCGGCGCACGGGUGAGUAACGCGUAUCCAACCUGCCUUACACUCUUGGACAGCCUUCUGAAAGGGAGAUUAAUACAAGAUGUUAUCAUGAGUAAGCAUUUUCGCAUGAUUAAAGGUUUACCGGUGUAAGAUGGGGAUGCGUUCCAUUAGAUAGUAGGCGGGGUAACGGCCCACCUAGUCUUCGAUGGAUAGGGGUUCUGAGAGGAAGGUCCCCCACAUUGGAACUGAGACACGGUCCAAACUCCUACGGGAGGCAGCAGUGAGGAAUAUUGGUCAAUGGACGAGAGUCUGAACCAGCCAAGUAGCGUGAAGGAUGAAGGUUCUAUGGAUUGUAAACUUCUUUUAUACGGGAAUAAACGAAUCCACGCGUGGAUUUUUGCAUGUACCGUAUGAAUAAGGAUCGGCUAACUCCGUGCCAGCAGCCGCGGUAAUACGGAGGAUCCGAGCGUUAUCCGGAUUUAUUGGGUUUAAAGGGAGCGUAGAUGGGUUGUUAAGUCAGUUGUGAAAGUUUGCGGCUCAACCGUAAAAUUGCAAUUGAUACUGGCAGUCUUGAGUACAGUUGAGGUAGGCGGAAUUCGUGGUGUAGCGGUGAAAUGCUUAGAUAUCACGAAGAACUCCGAUUGCGAAGGCAGCUUACUAACCUGUAACUGACAUUGAUGCUCGAAAGUGUGGGUAUCAAACAGGAUUAGAUACCCUGGUAGUCCACACCGUAAACGAUGAUUACUAGGUGUUGGAGGACUGACCCCUUCAGUGCCGCAGUUAACACAAUAAGUAAUCCACCUGGGGAGUACGACCGCAAGGUUGAAACUCAAAGGAAUUGACGGGGGCCCGCACAAGCGGAGGAACAUGUGGUUUAAUUCGAUGAUACGCGAGGAACCUUACCCGGGUUUGAACGCAUUCGGACCGAGGUGGAAACACCUCUUCUAGCAAUAGCCGUUUGCGAGGUGCUGCAUGGUUGUCGUCAGCUCGUGCCGUGAGGUGUCGGCUUAAGUGCCAUAACGAGCGCAACCCUUGCCGAUAGUUACUAACAGGUUAUGCUGAGGACUCUGUCGGGACUGCCAUCGUAAGAUGUGAGGAAGGUGGGGAUGACGUCAAAUCAGCACGGCCCUUACGUCCGGGGCUACACACGUGUUACAAUGGGGGGUACAGAGGGCUGCUACCACGCAAGUGGAUGCCAAUCCCAAAAACCUCUCUCAGUUCGGAUUGAAGUCUGCAACCCGACUUCAUGAAGCUGGAUUCGCUAGUAAUCGCGCAUCAGCCACGGCGCGGUGAAUACGUUCCCGGGCCUUGUACACACCGCCCGUCAAGCCAUGGGAGCCGGGGGUACCUGAAGUGCGUAACCGCAAGGAGCGCCCUAGGGUAAAACUGGUGACUGGGGCU